AUUGAACGCUGGCGGCAUGCCUUACACAUGCAAGUCGAACGGUAACAGGUCUUCGGAUGCUGACGAGUGGCGAACGGGUGAGUAAUACAUCGGAACGUGCCCGAUCGUGGGGGAUAACGAAGCGAAAGCUUUGCUAAUACCGCAUACGAUCUACGGAUGAAAGCAGGGGACCGCAAGGCCUUGCGCGAACGGAGCGGCCGAUGGCAGAUUAGGUAGUUGGUGGGAUAAAAGCUUACCAAGCCGACGAUCUGUAGCUGGUCUGAGAGGACGACCAGCCACACUGGGACUGAGACACGGCCCAGACUCCUACGGGAGGCAGCAGUGGGGAAUUUUGGACAAUGGGCGAAAGCCUGAUCCAGCCAUGCCGCGUGCAGGAUGAAGGCCUUCGGGUUGUAAACUGCUUUUGUACGGAACGAAAAGACUCUGGUUAAUACCUGGGGUCCAUGACGGUACCGUAAGAAUAAGCACCGGCUAACUACGUGCCAGCCGCCGCAGUAAGAC
rnacentral:rRNA from 1 species